rnacentral:lncRNA from 1 species
GAUCCAUAAUCAAACCACCCCAGCCGGAACUUCUGCCUGUACAGCUGCUGUCACGGAGCAGACUUGAAUCUCACCCAUGGAGACCAGCAGGCAAACAGGUGUGUCUGCUGAGAUGCUCGCCAUGCCCCGAGGUCUGAAGGGCAGCAAGAAGGAUGGAAUCCCUGAGGACCUAGAUGGGAACUUGGAAGAACCCAGGGAUCAGGAAGGUGAGCUCAGGAGUGAGGAUGUCAUGGACCUCACAGAAGGUGACAAUGAGGCCUCAGCCUCAGCUCCUCCCGCAGCCAAAAGACGGAAAACACAUACGAAAGGCAAGAAGGAGAGGAAGCCCACCGUGGAUGACGGCUCUUAUUAUUUUGAGGUAUGUGCUGCAUUCACUCGCCCCUCUUCCUCUCUGUGAGUGCCACAGACCAAAGCUGCUUCCGAUUGGCCAUCUUGGGGCCCACUCGUCAGUUGAUGGGCACUUAGGUUGAUUUUAUAACUUUGCAAUUGUGAAUUGUGCUGUGAUAAAAAUAUGUGUGCAGGUUUCUUUGAUAUAAUGACUUCUUUUUUUUAGGUGUGUACCCAGUAGUGGGAUUGCUGGAUGGAAUGGUAGGUCUACUUUGAGUUCCUUGUGAAAUCUGUACACUGUUUUCUGCAGAGGUUGUACUAAUUUACAUUCCACCAGCAAUGCCUAAACGUUUCCUUUUCACCACAUUUACGCCAACACCUGCUGUUCUUUGACUAUUGAAUAAUGGCCAUUCUCGCUGGGGUAAGGUGGGUGAGAAACUCAGCUGUUUUUCAUUGUGGCUUUAAUUUGCAUUUCCCUGAUAAUUAGAGAUGUGGAGCAUUUUUCCCUGUUUAUUAGUUAUUUGUGUGUCUUCUUUUGAGAAACGUCUAUGCAUGUUGUUUGCUCACUUUUUAAUGGGAUUAUUUGUGUUUUCUUUGAUUUGUUUCAAUUUCUUGUAGAUUCUGGAUCUAUCAGUCCUUUGCCAGAGGCAUAAUUUGCAAAUAGUUUCUCCCAUUCUGUAGGUUGUUUGUUUACUCUGAUGAUUUAUUUUGCUUUGGAGAAGCUUUUUCUUUUCAUUAGCUCCCACUGAUUUAUUUUUGCUUUUUUUGAAUUUGCUUUUGGGGUCUUUGUUAUAAGUUCUUUGCCUAGGCCAAUGUCUAGAAGAGUUUUCCCGGUUUUCUUCUAGAGUUUUUAUUGUUUCGGGACCUAGAUUUAAGUCUUGAAGUCACCUUAAGUAAAUUUUUGUGAAUGAUGAAAGAUAGGGAUCUAGUUUCCUUCUUCUGUGUGUGGCUAUUCAAUGUUCCCAUCACCAUUUAUUCAAUAGGGUGUUAUUUCCCCUGUCGAUGUUUCUGUAUGCUUUGUCAAAAUCAGUUGGCUUUAUUUUUGUUUUCUCUAUUUUGUUUCAUUGGUCUGUGGAUCUACUUUUAUGCCAAUACCACAUUGUUUGGCAUAGCCUUUUGGGAUACUUUGAAGUCCGGUAAUGUGAUGCCUCCAUAUUUAUUCCUUUUCCAUAGGAUGGCUUGGCUAUCCUAGCUGUUUUUGGUUCCAUAUGAACUUUAGAAUUUUUUUUUUCUAACUCUGCAUAAAAUGACAUUGUUAUUUGGGAAGAAAUUGCAUCGAAUCUGUAGUUUGCUUUGGGCUGAAUUUUUUUUUUUUUUUUUAACAAUGCUGUUUUUUCUAAUCCACGGGCAUGGAAAGUAUUUCUGCUCGUUUGUACCAUCUAUUACUUCUUUCAGCAGUGCCUUGUAGUUCUCCUUGUUGGGAUCUUUUACUUUGUUUUUAAAGUAUAUUCCCAUAUACAUAUGUAGCUACUGUAAGAGGGAUUGAGGUUUUGAUUUAAUUCUCAUCUUGGUUGUUGUUGGUGUAUAGCAUGCUAUUAAUUUGUGUGCAUGACUUUUGUAACCUGAGAUUUUACUGAAUUUACCUAUAAGGUCUGGCUGUCUUUUGUAGGAGUGUUUAAGGUUUGCUGUGUAUACCAUCAGACCACCAGGCAACAGAGAUAGUCUGACUUGCUCUUUUCCAAUGUUAAUACCUUUUAUUUCUUCCUCUUGCCUGAUGGCUCUAGCUAAGAAUUUUGUGCUCAUUUUAUAGAAAAGUUUUAGUUGUAUGCAAAAUCGGGCAAAAAUUAGAGAGUUCCCCUAUAUCCUUUCCCCCACAUAGGCAUAGCCUCCCUCCGGUAUCAACUCCCUAUCCCAGAUUGUAUGUGAAUUACAAUCAUUGAACCCACAUUGACCUAUUAUUAUCACUCAAAGUCUGUAGCUUAUAUUAGGGUUCACUAUGUUUUUGUUGUACAUUCUAUGGGUUUGGACAGAUGCAUCAUGACAGGCAUCCGCAACCAUAGUGUCCUAUGAAAUAGUUUCACUUCUCUAAAAAUCUUUUGUCUCUAGCUUCUCUAUUCCUUCUUUCAACACCAACCCCUUCCAACCAUGGAUCUCUGUAUUUAUUUAUUGGUAAACCUUGUCUACUGACAUUUCAUAUUGUAUAUACUUGUUAUGUACAACAUGACGUAUUAUAUACAUUUUACAAUGUCAAAAUCUAGCUAAUUUUUACAUAGUUAUUGUAGUUUUGUUAAGAACACUUCACAUUCACUCUUAGCAUUUUUCAAGAGCACGAUAUAUUGUUACGUGGAGUCACCACGCUGUAAAAUAGAUCUCUUGAACUUAUUCCUCCCACGUGACUGAAAUUUUGUAUAUUUUGACUGUCUCCUCAAAUACCCCACCCCUGCCACCCCAACCCAUGGUAACU